UAAAUGCUUACCAGCGUGGUGCUGUGGCUGUCUCUUUAGAUGGGAGUGUGUGCAUUCUUCAAACCCACAGCUCCCUGUUGUUAACGGACAAUGAGACCGGAUUGCCUCCCUUGUCCCCUGGCUUGGGAUCCUAAGUCUAGGAUCUUUUUGCAUUGCUUCUUUCUGUGCCAGGGUCCUGUGAGGAAAACUUCCCAUCCUGGACCUUUGUUCAGAAGAAUAGGCUCAUCAGAACAAGUACCUGAAGGGGAGAAGGAUCCUCUCUGGUGGCCAUCCUGAUGCUCUGCCUCAAGAGUGAGGUUGAGUCAUCCCUAACAUCUCCAUACUGGUAUCAUUUUGAAGCUGGAAAGGGGAAGAAAUACUAAUGUGGAACAUGUACUCCCUGAACACAGUCAACCAUAAGCAGAACAGACAGUGGAACAACCUGGAAACUGGCUGAUUUUGAGGUUCUCAUCUCCCCCACAGCAACCCCACUGCCCCACCAUGAGAACUUUGUGGGAGAUCAGAAGGUGCUUCUCUGAGGGAGAAUCAUCUGCCUUUCGGGCAAAGCAGCUCUUCUUGUGCAGGACUGCCCCAGGCAUUGCAGGACAUUUGGCAACCCAGACCUACCUGAAAUGCUGGUUGUGCCUCUAGUCAUUGUGACAACCAGAACAUUCCCCACCCCCAUUUUCCAAUUGCCUUUUGGGGGAUAGGACCUAUUUCCCAG
rnacentral:lncRNA from 1 species